UACGGAGGGUGCGAGCGCUGUCCGGAAUCACUGGGCGUAAAGGGCGCGUAGGCGGCGCGGGAAGUCCGUGGUGAAAGCCCGAGCUCAACUUCGGGUCGGCCAUGGAUACUCCUGGGCUCGAGCACUGUAGAGGCAGGUGGAAUUCCGGGUGUAGCGGUGGAAUGCGUAGAGAUCCGGAAGAACACCGGUGGCGAAGGCGGUCGC
rnacentral:rRNA from 1 species